CUUGUGCAUCACACCCUUAGAAAAAGACUGUUGGACACAUUAGGAACAGGGGUGCUGCUUCUAGUGUUUUUGGGUUGGUUAGAAUCACAUAGUUAGGCUCUUUGUUGGUUCCUGUUCCCCUACAUCAGUUAGUCAGUUUUAUGUUGCUUCUCUUUUCCCGUAGCUGGGUUGUUACAUAAAGACAAGACUGCCAACAUACGGUGAGUGGGGAGACAGCCCCAUGACAUCAUAUACAGACACCAGAGACCAACGUGGCAGCAGUGAACUGAAACCUGGCUCUGUCAGUAAGUGAAAUACUCGGUGAGUAAAAUUUCCCGGGCUGUUGUAUCUUCUUUGUUUGCAGAAAUCGACUGCCUGGUGCUGGAUGUGAGUCCCACAGCGUCUGAGGUUUUACUCUCUCAGCAAAGUGGUUCCACAAAGGGUUUAUAUCUUGAUGCUUCAUGGGAACAGUGCAACAUCUACUGGCCUGAAUGCAAAAUGGGCAAAAUACAAACGUUUGUAUGUCACAAACUGAAUGUAAGUAUAAGGGAAAGCAUGAUUGUAUUUUAUAUUCCAAGCUUAGAUUUAUAUACUGUCAAAGCAAAUCAAAAUGUUUUGUAUGCAUCAAAUGUGUCAAUAUCAGUGAAGUUAAGCUCAAUGUCUUUGUUUUAACUUAGUGACAAAACUAAGUUAGUUUGCAAUGUGGGCAAAGAACAUGUAGCUUUACUUUUAAAUGUCAGCUCUGGUGGUUGUGCUGUAAAGGUGCAAUAUAAGAUGUGGCCAGAACUUUAGUUUAACAUGUUGAAAUAAUGAAUUAACACAAUCAACAGUGUGUGAAGUGGCUAUAGUGGUGAAGACCUCCGUCUGUUGUAUUUCAGAGUUAUCUCCUUAAAUGCGCAUGCGCACCAGCCAGCACCGACCUGUCCUGUGUUGUAAUACCACUUUGUGACACUAGAGGCUGUGUGAGUCAGCGGCGCGUCAAGUCUGCUCUCAGUCCCACGAAGAAGAACAACUUCCGGCGGCUUCAGGUUAGCAUCACAGAAACACAGGAAUGGCUGAACCGCCUAAAAGACGAUAUUCAUCCGCAUCCCGAAGGACCGCUCCCGACAAGAAACCACGUUCAACGGCAAAGAAAAGAAGCGACACGCGUAAAUCUGGAUGUGACUUUCCACCGCUGGAGAAGCUCCUGAGAGGAAAGAGAUGCGGUUUGAUGCCGAGCUCGCAACUUUCCUGUUAGCCUGCCAGUGCCAAGUACUUCCAAGCUCCUGGCAACACCUGCCAGACAGAGCAGGAGGAAGAGCGAGUUGUCUUCCCUCCCAGAGACCAGGAGAGGCAGCCCAGGUGACCGUUCAAGGCAGCCAUGGGGAAGAACACCUCCUGUCCUGGGAAGGAGAGUCUCCAGAGCUGUCUUCUUGGACUGACCUCGGGCCCUGCAAACUGGGCCAGUGUUAGCCGCCUGGUGGAGGCAAUUUGCAACCAGCUCUGCAUCUUCACCCGGUGGCCACGUGGUCCAGAGGGACCGUGAGGACUCGCUGGUCAUUCAUUCUCAAGGAUUAUGUGGCCAUCAAAGAGGCAGUGCUGGCCGGCCCCAGGUUGAUGGCUCAGACCAACAUCCAGCUCUUUGAAUGACUCAGUGCUGCUGGCCAGACUCUCCCUUCAGCAAAGGGUCUGUCCUUGGUCCAGGUGGGACAAGGACAGACCUUUAACUUCACUGUCCUGGAGGAGCAGCCUGGAUCCUCCAGCAGGGGUCUCCUGAGGGAAAUCUGUCUCUUUAGCUUCUUAAUGCUCCACUAUGUUCAGCAGCUGCUCUCGGACCGUGUCUGUCUGCUGUUUGCUGCUGAAGAGGUCGUGGACAGUGGCUACGGCCGAAAAAGUGUAUAUAUUAAAAGAUGACAAAGACGGUAACUGAAUCAUUAUUUUACUGCACAGUUCAUUUUUCUUUUCUUUUAAUUGUAUUCUUAAAUUGCGUUCACCAUGGCCUUAAAAACUCUUCGACACCAAGAUAGAAAGUUUAAAUGAGCACAGUGCAAAGACUGGACACUGACUGUUUCCCUGGUAAAAAUGUUUUAAAUAGUUUCCAUUGGGCGCAAUGCUGUUACUGUAAGAAUUAAUUUGUAAUGUG